rnacentral:rRNA from 1 species
GAUGAACGCUGGCGGCGUGCCUAAUACAUGCAAGUCGAGCGAAUGGAUUAAGAGCUUGCUCUUAUGAAGUUAGCGGCGGACGGGUGAGUAACACGUGGGUAACCUGCCCAUAAGACUGGGAUAACUCCGGGAAACCGGGGCUAAUACCGGACAACACUUUGAACCGCAUGGUUCGAAAUUGAAAGGCGGCUUCGGCUGUCACUUAUGGAUGGACCCGGGUCGCAUUAGCUAGUUGGUGAGGUAACGGCUCACCAAGGCAACGGUGCGUAGCCGACCUGAGAGGGUGAUCGGCCACACUGGGACUGAGACACGGCCCAGACUCCGACGGGAGGCAGCAGUAGGGAAUCUUCCGCAAUGGACGAAAGUCUGACGGAGCAACGCCGCGUGAGUGAUGAAGGCUUUCGGGUCGUAAAACUCUGUUGUUAGGGAAGAACAAGUGCUAGUUGAAUAAGCUGGCACCUUGACGGUACCUAACCAGAAAGCCACGGCUAACUACGUGCCAGCAGCCGCGGUAA